UGGAGCCUAGGGAGGCAGCAGUGGGGGAUAUUGCACAAUGGGGGAAACCCUGAUGCAGCGACACCGCGUGGGUGAGGAAGCGCUUCGGCGUGUAAAGCCCUAUCAGUGGGGAAGAAAAAGGACGGUACCCAAAGAAGAAGCACCGGCUAAAUACGUGCCAGCAGCCGCGGUAAUACGUAUGGUGCAAGCGUUAUCCGGAAUGACUGGGCGUAAAGGGAGCGUAGACGGUUGUACAAGUCUGAUGUGAAAGCCCACGGCUCAACUGUGGGAGUGCAUUGGAAACUGUAGAACUAGAGUAUCGGAGA
rnacentral:rRNA from 1 species